AAGGCACCGGGUUUUGAUCCCGGCAUUCGCAGGUUCGAAUCCUGCCGCCCCUGCCA
rnacentral:tRNA from 1 species